GGUAGCCGGCCUGAGAGGGCGACCGGCCACACUGGGACUGAGACACGGCCCAGACUCCUACGGGAGGCAGCAGUGGGGAAUAUUGGGCAAUGGAGGAAACUCUGACCCAGCGACGCCGCGUGAGGGAUGAAGGCCUUCGGGUUGUAAACCUCUUUCAGUAGGGAAGAAGCGAAAGUGACGGUACCUACAGAAGAAGCACCGGCUAACUAUGUGCCAGCAGCCGCGGUAAUACAUAGGGUGCAAGCGUUGUCCGGAAUUAUUGGGCGUAAAGAGCUCGUAGGUGGUUAGAUACGUCGGAUGUGAAAAUCAGGGGCUCAACCCCUGACCUGCAUUCGAUACGGUCUAGCUAGAGUGUGGUAGGGGA
rnacentral:rRNA from 1 species